GUAGGGUGCGAGCGUUAUCCGGAAUCAUUGGGCGUAAAGAGCUCGUAGGCGGUUCAGCAAGUCGGCUGUGAAAUUCCGAGGGCUCAACCUCGGAACUGCAGUCGAUACUGUUGUGACUCGAGUCCGGUAGAGGAGAAUGGAAUUCCCGGUGUAGCGGUGAAAUGCGCAGAUAUCGGGAGGAACACCAGUAGCGAGGGCGGUUCUCUGGGCCGGCACUGACGCUGAGGAGCGAAAGCGUGGGUAGCAAACAGGAUUAGAUACCCUGGUAGUCCACGCCGUAAACGUUGGAUACUAGGUGUGGCGUUCCGACCAACGGUCGCCGUGCCGAAGCUAACGCAUUAAGUAUCCCGCCUGGGGAGUACGGCCGCAAGGCUA
rnacentral:rRNA from 1 species